GCACGCUAGCAGUUCAAGGAUACAAUGUGGUGGAAUUCCGAGAAGGAAUUGAACGAUCCAAUCUCCUACUUUCUACCCCUGUAAACAUAUAAACAACGAUCUGUAUAAUCGAUACCAGUAGCAUGCCUGAAGGCAUUCGAAAUGUUAUCGUAAAUUAUAGAAUGGAAUCCAUUAAUGCGCCCAGACAUAGACAGAUAGAAGCAGAGGGAGCUGAAGAGGAAGAGCCAACAUUCAUAUAUUCAAAAUUCAUUUGCCCCUAAUUGUAUGCAAUGGAAAAUGUGCGUGCAAUUUAUGCAAACAAGCGUCGUCCGUGGGUGUGUGUGUGCUCUCUGAUUCCAUGUUUGCAAACGACUAUUUCUGCUACAUAUUUCAUAAAAUACAUAGUGCAUCUUCCGAGCGAGUUCCUGCUAAAACUGGCAUUUAAAUACGAUUUGGAAAGUUGCUCUUGCGAAACUUUUCCCAGAAUAUUUGACACAGCUCUCUAGCAAAUUGUUUGCUAGCUCUCUAAGUGGCCCCAAUUCAAAUUAAUUCAACCAAUAAAAUGGCAUAAAUUAUA